CCUACUCCUCCUCCGGAGCUCGUGCGCCAGCAACUGCCGCGGCUUCGAUUGGGGCGCGAGCGAGCGCAAUCACUUGCGUGCCUUGCUCAGGUUGGCUGUAACUGGCGAGAGUACUGAACAUUUGGGCAGUGGAAAAAAAAAUCAGAUGCUCUGCAUCUUUUCUCCCUGGAAGCUACUUUUCCUGUGAGAGGGUAAGUUUAACUUUAUAAUGUCUCCUAAGUGUUUUGGAAGUAUAGCUUGAUUAUGAGCAUGGAAGAGCAUAGAGCUCANUGUGUACAUGAAAUCCAAAUAAGGCAUGAAAGCUUUAAGUGAAAUGUAUUGAUGCAUCUUGUUUAAGGGGAUUGAAAUAUAUUUCUGUAUUUUAGAUUGCCAGUAAGAAAACCUGUUUGUUCUUAUGACAAACAUUAAAGGUUGUGCAUAUUUAUAUAUGUGCUCACUAGCCUAUCAGGCCAAAUAAACAUACAAAAUCAGGUUCCA
rnacentral:lncRNA from 1 species